rnacentral:lncRNA from 1 species
CUGGACAGGAGAGCUGGUGAGCUGGGUUCAGACCAUCUGACUAAUUCCGCCACAGUCCCGGCCCCACAGCCCAGCUGGGAACAAGCAUGCCUGGCCACCAGUGAUGCGUAGCGGGAACCUGAAAGUGCAGAAAGAAGAAAGCAGUGCCCAGUAGAAGCCACCAGAAUCCCCUGACAUCCCCAGCAAUCCGGUGUGGGUGUGCUCAGAGUGACCCACUCGCUUCUCGGCCAUACCAUCUGCAAGCAGCAAGAGAGAGGGAAAGUGCCAGAGAGCAGGUGACUCUAGUCUCUCAGGUGAGGGCCUUAUUCUUUAAGACUCUGUAAAAAUAAUUAGUAAAUACGUAGGGUCAUGGUCAGCCGAGGAUCGGAACAGCUGGCAGAAGAUGGGAGCGAGAGGGCAGGUAAGAGGUACCAAAAUACAG